CCUACGGGGGGCUGCAGUCGAGAAUCUUCGGCAAUGGGCGAAAGCCUGACCGAGCGACGCCGCGUGUGGGAUGAAGGCCUUCGGGUUGUAAACCGCUGUCAGAGGGGAGGCCUAUCCUCAGAGGAAGUACGGGCUAAGUUCGUGCCAGCAGCCGCGGUAAGACGAACCGUACGAACGUUAUUCGGAAUCACUGGGCUUAAAGGGUGCGUAGGCGGCGCUAAAAGUUGGGUGUGAAAUCCCUCGGCUUAACCGAGGAACUGCGCCCAAAACUGUAGUGCUUGAGGGAGAUAGAGGUGAGCGGAACUUAGGGUGGAGCGGUGAAAUGCGUUGAUAUCCUAAGGAACGCCAGGGGCGAAAGCGGCUCACUGGCUCUUCUGACGCUGAGGCACGAAAGCUAGGGUAGCGAACGGGAUUAGAUACCCUUGUAGUC
rnacentral:rRNA from 1 species